GUGGCUUAUUUGCUGAGGUAUUAUCGGGGGGAAAUAAAGCUGAGUAUUUCGAGAGGUUAUGUUGAGGGUGCCUCUUCGAAUGCGAGAAAGGGUUGAGCAUUUUUGCAGGUUUGCCUGUCCGUUGAGGAGGGAGGUCAAUGUAUAUAGGGAUUUCCCAAUAACAAGUAGUAAUGCUAUUCUUUUACCCUUCUUGGUCACAGCAAUGUAGUGGGAGCUGCCAGCUUCACGUGUUUUAAUU
rnacentral:lncRNA from 1 species